CACAGCUAGAAUAGGAAUAGAAAGAUAAUUUUAAACUGCUUCAUAAAAUUUAUUUAGGAACCCCUAUUCUACUCUUACCAUUUCACAUGAGCAUAGCAGAAAACUGUAUGACCUAAAAAACAAGACAAGGGGAUAGUAACACCACCUUCACCGAAGAGGAAAGGAUACUUCCUAUAUUCUAAAUUAAAACUGAACUGAAAUUGAACAAAAAUUCUUAUGUUGAUACCUAGACAAGAUCAAAGCAAUGUUCAGCUUUGAAUAUUUUUGAGUUUUGCUACCCAGUGUUGUUUGAAAAUGUUCUCAAACAUGUUUUUAAAAAUGAGGAUUGUUAGGGAGGUUCACUGUUUGAUCCUACUGCAUCCCUAUCCUGUGCCUUGUCGAGGAUAAAGUAAUGAAAUAUACCACUUUAUUGCAGUGGUAUUUCUCAGCUGAACAGGCAGUAGCAAAUAAAGCAGAUGGACUUCCCAUUUUCCAGGGAAUAUAUUAAUGAGGAUUGAUUUUUGGAGGGCUGACAUCAGCUUUUGUGGUUUUGAUUCAAGGGCCUGAUAUAUUUGAGUUGAGAUGAAAUUCCCUUUGUCUCUGUUUUCCACAGUAACGUUAAUAUGGAGUAAAUUCAACAAACUUGGUGACCAAUGGGGAGCUGUCCAGCAUCUGGAAUCAACACAAACUGCUUUAUUGCUUUGGAAUGUAAUGUGUAAAAGAAACGUAAAAACAAGAACAAGAAAUGUUCCACAAGAACAAAAUAACGUAUCAUAAUUCCUCAUUGUUUUCUGAGUGUUCUCUUUACUUUAUAGAUUAAUUGCUUUCAAGCAGUAAAUAGUGCCUUAAUAUAUCGUGCUUCCUUGAGUAUGUAAGGUUACUAUACUGCCAUGCAGUUUUUUAUUCUUGAUGAAAUGUCUGGAGGACAUCUCUUACAUGAAUAUUUUUCUCCUGCCUUCUUACUUUUUUUUUUUUUUUUUUUAAACCACCAUUCUGCUCUCCGGUAUCUCCAGGCAGGCCACAUAAGAUAUUGGAGGGAUGGCGCAGAGGAAAAUUCAAAGACAUCUAUCAUCAUUUAGUGCUUAUUUUACUCUUCUCAGGAAAGGGCUAUUUAUACAGCUUACCUUUGAGUGUUUUCUUCAUUGUCUUUAUACAUUUUAGCUGAAAAAAAAAAAAAUAGUGAAAAGAGAAUGAAAUGUACUUCUUAAGAACCAUUCAGAUAAUUUUAAUUUUCUUAACUGACAUGCUUUUGACUUCACUAUAGAGAGUGAAAUCGAAAGCUGUGGCAUCAUAGCACUUUCAGUUGUCCCCUGCUUCACUCAAUUACUUUUGAAUAGUAAUUUUAAAAGAUGCUUGUGUUAUGUUUCUGUGCUGUGCUACAGACUCUGUGUUAGUUUACAAGAAGGUCUUCAAUCUCUAUUUUGUUAAGCCACAUCAAAUACAGUCCCUUCUCCCAAUAGUGUACUGUAGCGCAUGGGAUUAAUUUCUUGCUUCCUCCUCUUUCUGCUUCCAACUCGCUUUUUUUCUCUGCCUAGGGAGGCGCAUCAUGUGUUUAUAAUAGAAGAUGAAAGGUUCAUUUGUUUUACUGGCUCAGUUGCUUCUGUCUCUGAAAGCGAGAGAUCUACAGAUGAAGAAACUGAGGCAGAGAGAUUUAUUGCUAGACCUUGAUUAAUAACUCAGGAAUUCAUGGCUUUCGAUCUUGUUCUCCAGAACUCCAGAAUUUGCCAUGGUAAAACUCUGAUACCAUGAAUAUUGCAGCAUCAGCCAAUCUGACUGCAACCUUGCUCAAGGAAUUCUGUUUUUCCCUGGUGUUUCCGGAGUAGAAGGAGAAUUCUUAAUUGACGUGAACAAGGGAAUCAAAUUUUGAGGACAAGCAGGAUGUUUUUCGCAGUUUAGCUUCUAAGUUAUGUUAGAAUUACUGACUGGAAAAAGAAUAAAUAAAUAAAGAUUGGCAAGAUAUUAUUGCUAUAGGACUUCCAAACUAUUAAAGCAAAACCAAAGGCCUAAAAUCUGAAUUUGUAGUAAUAUGUAUCUUUUUUUUUUCUUCUUUUUAAUUUACAAACUGUAGCUCUUUCUAAUACGUAGUUUAGAAAGAUACACAGGCUUGGGGAGAGAGAAAAACAGCAGUAUAGUUUAUUCCUAGCUGAACACCACUUAGAUUAUUUUAAAAUUAAUUUCCCAAAAUUCUGAUUCCAUCUGGUUGUAUUUCAGAACAGUGGAUACAAACAUGUGAAUUCAGUGUCUUCUCUUUGAAUCUUUAUCUAUCUUGCAAUAUGAGCUACUUCAGAAACAAAAUCUGUUUUCCCUUACCCAUGAAAGCAUAUUAAAGGCCUUGAUCUCUCACAUAAGAAUGCACCUUUGUGUGAUCAUCGUCAGUUUCAAGUUAAUUCUACUUUCCAAAUAACAAAAACAGGGGAUUUUUCUUUUAUAUCUUAGCUUUAUGGCUAUACAACUCCCAGCUCUUGUCUAACUGUUCUUUUACUACCUUUAUAUUUGUUAUUACUAUACUGGCUGUUUACAUUUGCAUUAUUUAAAUAUUUUGACAACAGCAGCAAUAGAAGGAAAACUUGUGUGAAGAACAUUUUGUGUCCUCAGAUAACUGUGCUGUUGUAUCUGUAUGUUACAAUAGUGGAUGCAAUCUGUGGCAGCAACUUGUACUAAAGACAAAAGGACAACACAAGUGUGCAAGGAGAAAAAGAAAGAUGUCUAAUUGUAGCUUAGAGUAUUCUGAAAUAGUUUUAUUCCAUGAUCUAAUUUUAAAUUCAUAUCUUGUCAAAUACAACAAAUCCAGAUGUAUUAUUUUGAAAUUAUACAUUUAUUCUAAAGAACCCAUAGAACAGUGUUCAGGAAUUUUUCAUUCAAAUGGUAUUGUAUGAAAAAGCGUUUUUGUAUCUUUGGGGAAAAAAUCCUGAGAAUUCCUUAUGGAAUUAUUAUUGACUCUCUAAUAUGAUAUUAGACUAUAUUUUAUAUUUUAAUAUUAACUAUAAAGCUUUGCGGGGGGCGGGGGGGGUCUCAUGGCAGCCUUCUGGUACUUAACAAGAGAGCUUGUAAACAAGCUGAGGAUUGACUUUUUGCCUGGCUGGACACUGAUAGGACAAAUGGGAAUCAUUUUAAACUAAGAGGAGAUUUAGAUUAGAUAGUAGGAGGAAAUUUUUUACUUGUAGCUUAGUGAGGUACUGAAAGGCUGCCCAGAGAAACUAUGAAUGCCCAUCCCUGGAGGUGCUCAAGGCCAGGUUGGAUGGCGCCCUGCGUAGCCUGAGUUGGUGAGGGGCAGGCCCUGCCUACAGCUGGGGGUUGGAACUGGAGGAGCUUUAAGGUCCUUUCCAACCCAAGCCAUUCUGUGAGUCUACAACAAAAGCCAAAAACAAAACACUCUAAUAUUUCUAGGAUUAAUUUCUGUAGUCCUGCAAUUACUGUAACUUGAAGGAAUGCGCAUGAUCAUUCUUUCCUAAUUACAUACGUACAUUUUGAUGAGAGGAACCAGAUUCUACAAUUUGGAGCUAGAAAUAAGUAUUUAUUCUCCUAACAUUAUAUGUAUACUUAGCAGAAGAUACUAAGCUCUGUUCUGUCAUUUUCUAAUGUAUUUUAAUUUAGGGAAUGCCUCAGAAAGGGUAACAGGAACACACCAUUUUUUUUAUUACACUUUCAUACUGAAGAGAAACAAGAGUUAGGGUAUAUAGAUAACUGUCUAGCAAGAGUUGCUUAACAAUAUGCCAUCUAUAGUAUCAGAUCAUAAACCUGCUUGUGUGAAUGACUACUUGAUAGCUACAAAGUUUUAAAAGACAAGCAAGAGCACAAAAUGGUUUGUUUCUCCUUGUUUCUUACCGAAAAUUUUUCAACAACGAGACAAAAUUAAUUUUUCUCCUCUCCAAUUAAAUGAUGAGAUAAAUAAUAUUCUGUACUAAUGACUUCUUCUAAAAAGAAAUCUGAUGAAUAUUAAAUUAACAUUAAUAAUGCUUCCAUCUGCGUGCGCUUUUAAGACAGGAUUAAUUCACCGGAAAGGAUUCCUUAAGCUGCAAUUAAUUAGUGCACAACUAAUUGCUUUAUAAGAUAUCAACUUUGAACUUCGGAAGGGAAGAAACACACCAUAAAAUAAGAAACCCUCAGUUUAGUAAAUGUUUUAGGCACAGAAAUGAUGCUAGUGCUUAGCCUUCACCAACAAGCCAUUGUGCUUUUGCCCACUUUGCUGAAGGUUAAUGAAUGUUUAAGUUGAUGAUGACUCAUCAUCACCAUUAUGUUUAUUAUUAAUAAUUUGACUUUGGAAUACUGAACAGGUAGUCAACCUAAAUAUGUUUCUACCAUUCCAUUGUUUCCGAAUGUAUAAUACUAAAAGUAUAAGGCUUACCUGGUUAUGUUGCUGGUAGGAAUGCCCUGCACCUCCUUAUCCAACGGGAAAUAAAUUUAUGUUAUGUUGGUGGACCUUGGAUGCUCUUUUAUAUCAGACUUGGCAGCACAAGUCUAUCUCUGGAGCUGCCGUCAAUCUGAAAGGGCUCUAGUCUUCUCUUCACCUGCUUUCUUACAAACAGGAAAUGUAGCUUUGGCUUUUACGACUUUGCUAGCAAACUGACAGUCUCCUUGAUCAUACAGUUCUGAGAAGGAAUGAAGUAUUUUAUGUAUACUUGCAUGAAAUAUCCACCCGUUUUGCCACAGAAGUGUAUGUACAGGAUUAUUUGUUCAAUUCAUAUCAUACAAACCUACUUUUGUAGGACCUGUACUGUUAGGCAUCUUGUCUUGCGCUUAUGCUGAAUUCCGCAGAAGUAUUUGGGUGCCUAUUAAACUAAAUGACAGAAAUAUUUUCCAUAGGAAUGCUAUUUGACUCUUUCUGUCUUGAGGUUUCUAAGCCAAGUCUGGAAAGUCUUUUGCUGAGAGUGCCUACAGUUUUGCAAACAAUAAAAAGAUGCAGUGGUGCAAUGUACGAAUUAUACUGUUGGCAGCUUUUCUCCCACUGUUCUUUCAAGUCUGUGAAUCUGGGCCCAUGAUCAAAAGCAAGUUGUGGAUAGAGAGUAAAUCAGCAUGUGGCUUACUAUGAAUGUUUGUUUUUAAAUGUAACGAAACGUGCCUGUGUUUUGCUCGAGAAGCCAUUUUAUUCUCAGAAUUGCAGUUGCUUCUUCCAGAGGAAGCCAGCUUGAACAGAACUGUUGAAGAGACUUUCUUUUAAAUUCUGAGAGUUUGUGUGGUUUCAGUUUUUGCUAUUUUUUUUCUUUUUAAGAUUAGUUCAUUUUAUUUCCAAUUACGUAUCAUGUAGAAGUGGGAAAGUUUGCUUAAGAAAAAAAAGAGAAUCAUUUGUCUGUGUUUAUCUUUUUGGAAUACGUGCAUUAAAACUGUUCCUAGUAUAAUCUAAGGAACAAAGCAAGACCUUUCUCUUCGAGCAAGGCUCUUAUAGGAGAUAAUGUCUUUGGCAGUAUAUGCUUAUUUGGGAUGCUAUUACUUUUAGGUAUUAUUUUUAUAUUAACUGCCUUAGAUUAAUGCUUAAGGAAAAUGGAUAUAGCUUUGGUGUUUGCUAGUUACUAAAUUUAGACACCCUACUCAAAUAUGAGUAGCAUCAAAAUUAAAGAUAGAUAUUAUCUCAGUAUUAAACGAAAAAGCAUAUGUACAUCACAUUGCAUUGAAAAAUGGGGUUUAGAAUGAGAGCUCCUCUCAAAAAGUGAUGUAUGCUGUGAUCUGUGGUCUAAACUGAAGUCUUCAGCACAGAAAAUAUCCAGUUCUGUGAAAUGUGAAUCGCAACUGAUAUGUUUGAAAGUGAGAGGUCUGUCAUAAGCUUAGAAGAAGGACUCAACCAGUUAUAACAGCUAGAUUUAACAGUUCUGUGUUGUAGGCUCAGCUGAACAGAAGAGUCCUGAAGCCACAUGAUGAGAGUGUGCAACUCAAAAACAUGCCUUUAGUGAAGGAAAUGAAGGAUCUUGAAUUGAGUGAGAAGAUGGAAAACAGGUAGUGGGGAAUUCGUAUGGUGUAAAUUGAGACAGCUACUUAGUUUCUCAGCUGAGAGUGUGAGGAGUAAAUCUGAGUUCUGCAGAGGAUUCAGAAUGAAUUGCUUAUCAGCCUGAACAAGAAGCUUACAAGGAAUAAACUCCUUUGGAGAUAAUUAUGGACAUAAUGGAUAGGUAAAUAGUGAGAAUUCAGCAGAGGAUUUCUGGGCCUGUUGGUCUGGGGUAGUAUGUUAGAAAAAAUCUGUUCUCCAAGAGCAAGUCAUUGCUUCUGCAGCCAAAGAUGCUGCCGAGCAACAAAGUCUGUUGGAUUAGGUACGAGUUUGAUAAGCUCUUCUGGGCAGCCUGCAACACACUGCAAGUUCUUUUAGAUAGCACUAAACGUUUCACUGCAGACUCUGAAAUCUGUAGUGAAUACAUCUUCUUAAUUCUCUUUCCUGUCUUUUAUAGCUAUGCUAAGUUAAGAACCAGCAAUCUCCUUAAAAUGCUGUUAUUCAGGACAGUUAAGGCAAGGACAAAUUGUGCCUGAUUUUAGAAAGGCAUAACAAAGCAGUGCUGCUCUAUCUGCAUAUACAGCGUACAAAGCUGUUUCCUCUGGUUUUGAAGUCCCAGAGCUAAGCUGCUGGGUGCAUAUUCCGGAGAGGUAUAUUUUACUGCUUAAGUAUUUAUGUGAUCAUUGGCAAACACAAGCUGCUGGUGUCUCCAAGAUAUGAAUAGUGUCAAGUGGCUUCCGAUUCAGCUGGGAGUGGUUCUUGCUACAUAAGUUCUCCAAAAGGGUAAAUAGUACUAUUAAAUUUCUGUGUGCAUAGGCAUAUAUGAAGGAGUAAGUCUGUGCUCAGUUGGAGUCAUGUUAACAGUACAGUUUGGCAGAAGAUUUGGAUGGUCACAUGAACCUGACUGAGAGAUCACUUGACAAAAUAAAACUAUUAAACUUGUAAGAUAUGCAUCUGUGACAUGUAUGGAAUUGGAAGGUUUCCACACAUUUUUGAGGAGGAAGAUAAGUGACAGCAGCUAAACAUGUGGUAAAUAUCUAUGAUGGCUUCUCUGAAAACAAUGGUUCCUAUGUUAUUAUCUUGGCCCACAAAAUCUGAGGCAGGUGUUGGUGGUGUGGCAGUAGAGGUCAAGCUUUGCCACAAAUAAUCCUUUUAAAUGUUGUUUCUGUGUGACAGAUGGCAGCAGAGGGGCAGUCUGACACAAUGGCAUCUGACAUGGAAGUGCAUAUGAAGCAAAAGUGUGUCAUUGAAUGUGGAAAAAAACGCACCUAUGGACAUUCAUCAAUGAAUGAAUGUUUCUGGAGACCAACCAAUGGAUGUGAGAAUAGUGAGUGGUGUGUUUCAGCAGAGACAACAGUGAUGUGAAAGAUACGUUCUAGACAGCCAUACACAGCUGUCACACCAUAGAAUGAAGUACACUGUCUGUCAGCUUGUCUGCAGAGAUUGGCCAAUGGCGACUGUGUUGAAAAAUAUGUUUUUGUAGCUGAGAAUUUGCUCAAUCAGAUAGUGUUAUUGUGCUCUUUGUAUCUGUUCCAUGGAAAUAAAUAGAAAGUAUUACUGACCUGCAUAGUAGUGACCUACAUAUAUCCACUUUCUGUGAUGUGCUAUCUGGCUACUGCUACAGAACAUGUAGCUGAGACAGUGACUGUUGGAUGCAACAAGUGACUGAUGAAGGAAAAGUUGCUAAGAGCCAGAGGAGGUCAGCUGUCUUGCAGAAACAAGGCUAUUGCUGGAACUUAAGUGUUUAAAUUGUUUUGCUGGUUCUGGAUGUCCUCUAGCAGGACAGAACUUCCACUGUGGCUGCAAUCCAGGACCAUUUCCAGCACUGCCAAACCUGGAAUUUUCUGUGUGUGACUGAAAAUCUCUAGGGAAAAGUGUUUCCAGUCUUAUUGACCUGAAAGUAUUUUAAGAGUUUGCACUUCCCUUUUCCUAUUUUCAAGAAAUCAAAAAGCCCUCCUUGUUUUCAAGAGAGAAAGUCUUUGCUAUCCCCAAUUCUGGGGAUUGCCCUAUUUGUUUCAUAGAAAAUGAGUAUUAAAACAUAAUAUAACAUUUUUCAAAUGUAGUUGGAGAAGCAGUUGGCACAAGGUUCCAAUACAUUUGACUUCAUAUAUUCACAUCUCUUAUUUACUUAAGAUCUCAUUUAGUUCAGUACUUUUUAUGGCAUAUUCAUAUUGUCAGAAAGCGGUACUUUUUGAAGGCCUCAGAGUGCACAUUUUUUCUACCUUUCUGAAAGUGAAAUAAAUUGCACAACUGACAAUAGAAUCAGGCUUCACAGGCUUACUUUCUCUAUCACUACUCAAAUUACAGGCUUUCUUUUAAAAAUGUGUUGUGGUUUAACCCAGCAGGUAGCUCAGCACCGCACAGUCAUUAGCUCACCCCCUCCCAUGGCAUGAACUCAUGGGUUGAGAUAAAAACUGUUUAAUAAGGCAGAAAAGGAAGAGGAAAAAAAAAAGAUAAUAGUAAUGAUAAUAAUACACAUAUAUGUGUGUGUAUAUAUAUAUAUGUGUGUGUGUGUGUAUAUAUGUAUAUAUACUACGUAUGUAUAUAUACACAACAUAUAUACAUUACAAAAUAGGUGAUGCAAAAAUGAUUGUGGAAAACCCCUUUGCUAUGAGUGAAAUAUACUGGUUGGAACAGGCUGCUCAGAGAGGUUGUGGAUGCCCCAUCCCUGGAGGUGUUAAGGCCAGGUUGGAUGGGGCCUGGGCAACCUGGUCUAGUAUUAAAUGUGGAGGUUGGAGGCCCUGCCAGUGGUGGGGGGGGUUUGAGAUUCAUGAUCCCUGAGGUCCCUUCCAGUCUGGGCCAUUCUGUGAUUCUGUGAGGGGAGCUCAUGCUAAAGUGUCAACUACGUUGUCUCUAAUCUCAUGAACACAUCAAGGAAGUAGAACCGUUCUUUAAACCUUAGCAUGUAGCUCUUUGCUUAGAUUGCAGGUGCAGACCUGGUGUGCCACCAGUUGUAACCAGAAAUGAGCAGCGAUGCUGGCUUAAAACUGCUGCCAGAAGAGAGAGACCUUUCAAGCCAACCUCAAAUGAUGCAAAGAGUGAUUCUGACUAAUACAGUGGAUCUUUGCACUUACGAUAAAUUUAAUUGGCGUCUUUUUUGCAUUGUAGACAACAUUGUGAAUUUUGCUGUUUUAUCUUAAACCACUGCUAAGCACAAUGCUAUCUUGUUAAUUGCUCUGAAAUUAUGGCUCCUAUUACAAGCAGUAUCAUGGGUUUCCUGUGGGGAAACCACAGGUUAUUUUUGCCCGAAUGCUACAAAACCUUAUUAUCAAAGACACUAAAGAGGGAUAGCAAGAGAAAACUUCUUAUCUUGGUAAUUCUGCAUUGUCAAAAUUUCCACUGAAAGCUAACACUGCACACUUGUGCAGCUUUGGGUGGGGUUUUUUGUGUUGCGUGAUGUGAAAUUGCUGAGCAGUCUCUGCACAGGGCAAAUUGACCAGACUGUUCACGUCUCUUCAUCCCAAACCUGCAGAAGUGCGGCUUUUUCACUGAACUCGGUGCAUUUUAUUUUCAGCUCAGAAAGCUGCUGUAUUCUGAGAGAGAUGUAAUGUCUGAUGGUAUUUCUUUCAAAAGCCACAAGAAAAAAUGAAUUUCCUAGUAAAGUAGAUAUAAUCCACUUACUUGGAUACUUGUAAUUCCCGUUUGACACACAACCUGUGUUAUCAAGGAAGGGUUUGUGUUGACUCUUACCUGGGCUUUGGAUUAAUCCCUCUUCUGGACACAGAAAAAAAUCCGAGCUCUUCAGGAGCUGCUGGAGACCCAGGUCAAGCUGUUCUUUUGGGGGUAUUGUUAGCAGUCAGACACCCCUGAUUGUAUUCUGCUCUCACCUCACUUUUGUCAUAGAAUCACUAAGGUUGGAAAAGACCUCUAAGAUCAUCCAGUCCAACUAUCCACCUAACACCGAUACUUCCCCUUAAACCACAUCCCUCAGUUCAACGUCUAAAGCAACUGAAUGUCCUUGUUUCUGUCUCUACCAUUCCCCCUGCUUUAUACCCUUGAGGGACUCAGCUCCUCCGCUGUGACACACUUGUACCACAGCACUAGGAGUCAGUAGACGCGUUCGUAGACAUGAGCCUGCCAAGUCAGAGACAGUAAGGAGGAAACAAACAAACAAAAGAAUAAUUCAUGUGCCAACUUCAGUCUACUCUAUGUGGUUUCACGUACUUGCUGAUAAGCCCAGGCAUCUCUGCAGUGCAGCUGAACACCAGUGAGAUCUCAUAGAUCUGACCUGUGUGCACGUGCACUGAGAUAAAGUCUUACUUGGAGUGGUGACUAUGUAGACAGCCCUUGAAAAGCAGUCAGCCAUGCAUUACAGUAGUGAAUUUGACCUGAAUCACUCAACUACUAAACCUUUCGGAUUAAUAGUGUUGUGGUUCCAUCCCUCUAUUCAAAUAAAUAUCUGGUAAGCAGAUAAAAGCACUUGUCCUGCCCCAUACACAGCUGUUAAAAAAAACAGUGGUUUUUUUUACUACUUCCUGCUCAGCAGCGAGUUUGGGUACAGGAAGGAAAGCACAUUCUAGUUUCCUUGUAGUAAAAGCUGUCAGCAAUUAGCAUUUGUCAAGAAAAGCACAGGUGCACAGAAAAUGGCUGCCUUGUCCCACAGUGUGUUUCAAGGCUAUGGAGUGAUUCUCCUCUACUGACACACACAUUUUGAUGUUUCUCAGAGGACAGAAAAAGUAUUAUAUGUGUUUAAGGAGUUGUGAGGUGGUUUUGGUUGUUGUUUUUUUUUUUUGGAGUUUUUGUUUUAAGUCUCUGAAUGCAGUAUCCAGGGCAUGGACUUGAAUGUCUGUCCCUAAGAGUUGGCUGAAACAUGAGGUUAUGGGCUCAUCACAGAGGCCUUAUUUAGUCAGGAACAAAGGUUGUGCCUCUGGGGAGCAAGCUGUCCCAACAAGAGCCACACAUUUCACUAUGCUCCCUGACCAAGGAGAUAAUAUCCUCCCAGGAAUACAGCAUUCCUGGGAUACUACCAGCUCUAGGUGAGCUCUGCUCUGGCCACUUCAGAUUUGUAACCCAGCAGAGUGAUCCUUUGAUUUCAGUUCUGGUUUUGUUUCUAAUCUAGGGUACUAUAUCUUUCUUUUUAUGUCUGGUGCUUAAUGACUUUUGUGUCUGCUUAAGUGCUUUACUCUUUAGAAAAUGUACUGCUUGGAAGUAUCUCUGUGUGUUUUUCCUGGUUCUAUAGUAGAUGCUUGGAAAAAAUUUAUGGUCAAUUACUGAUGUCAAAAAUGACUGCCAUGUGGCUUAGUCUGUGCUUUAUUUGUAGUAUUGUCCAGAGAUGCAGAAAAUAUUUGCAUGAAUGGCUCUUCUUCUGUAAUCUGAAAGCUACAGUACCAAAGUGUUUAAAGGUGGAAACUGUACAGUUUGAUUGCUAUUUAGAUACUUCUGUUCAAAUGCUGAUCUAACUGAUAAAUAAAAGCCGCACAUCCUUCUACAUAGUC